GGUUUGUCCAGACCCAAGCCGUGAUUUCCAUCCCAACCCCAACGGUCCCCAAACAUGAGGCCUUGAGGUUUGUCCAAGCUAACUGGGCAGAGAGAGAUGUCUGUCCAGGUCCUCUCUAACCUCCCCUCCCCCUCUCCACGCUCUGGAAUUGGAAGCAGACAGGUUUUCCUCAGCCUUUUGGGGGCACACCCUUUUAUCUGCCUGUUUUAUGGCGAAAGCCACGGAGCUAGCCCAGUUCCAUUUCCUGUUGGUUCAGGGUGGAGAGGGCCUCGUCCUGUGGGCUACACUGCGUCUCAACUGGAAGAGGAAAGACGUACAUUCUCUGGCUGUCAGCUGUGUGUGGGCCUGUCUUCCCGUAACUGGACACCGUCAGGGGUGGGAACAGUGGAUAACCCAAAAGAACAGAGGAAUUAUCUUCUGGUAGCAUUUCAUGUCGCUUUGUGUCAGCAUUCCACAAUAAAUGAUGCCAC
rnacentral:lncRNA from 1 species